AAUGAACGCUGGCGGCGCGUUUUAAACAUGCAAGUCGAACGAGAACUCCGGUGCUUGCAUUGGAGGGAAAGUGGCGAACGGGUGAGUAACACGUGGAUAAUCUGCCUCUGGAUUGGGGACAACCUCGGGAAACCGGGGCUAAUACCGAAUAAGAUGGUAAUUGCAUAAGCAGUAGCCAUUAAAGGUGGGGACCUUCGGGCCCACCGUCUGGAGAUGAGUCUGCGGCCCAUUAGCUUGUUGGUGGGGUAAUGGCCUACCAAGGCAACGAUGGGUAGCCGGCCUGAGAGGGUGAACGGCCACAUUGGGACUGAGAUACGGCCCAGACUCCUACGGGAGGCUG
rnacentral:rRNA from 1 species